AGUGAACGCUGGCGGUAGGCCUAACACAUGCAAGUCGAACGGCAGCACAGUAAGAGCUUGCUCUUACGGGUGGCGAGUGGCGGACGGGUGAGGAAUACAUCGGAAUCUACUUUUUCGUGGGGGAUAACGUAGGGAAACUUACGCUAAUACCGCAUACGACCUACGGGUGAAAGCAGUGGAUCUUCGGACCUUGCGCGAUUGAAUGAGCCGAUGUCGGAUUAGCUAGUUGGCGGGGUAAAGGCCCACCAAGGCGACGAUCCGUAGCUGGUCUGAGAGGAUGAUCAGCCACACUGGAACUGAGACACGGUCCAGACUCCUACGGGAGGCAGCAGUGGGGAAUAUUGGACAAUGGGCGCAAGCCUGAUCCAGCCAUACCGCGUGGGUGAAGAAGGCCUUCGGGUUGUAAAGCCCUUUUGCUGGGAAAGAAAAGCAGCAGGUUAAUACCCCGCUGUUCUGACGGUACCCAAAGAAUAAGCACCGGCUAACUUCGUG
rnacentral:rRNA from 1 species